GAUGAAGAACGCAGCGAAAUGCGAUACUUGGUGUGAAUUGCAGAAUCCCGUGAACCAUCGAGUCUUUGAACGCAAGUUGCGCCCGAAGCCAUUAGGCCGAGGGCACGCCUGCCUGGGCGUCACACGUCGUUGCCCCCCCAUCUACUCCUUCGGGAUUGCGGGGGGUGGAUGAUGGCCUCCCGUGCGCCUCGUCGCGCGGUUGGCAUAAAUGCCAAGUCCUCGGCGACGCACGCCACGACAAUCGGUGGUUGCGAAACCUCGGUUGCCCGUCGUGUGCGGUCGUCGCGCAUCGAGGGCUCGAAAAAAUUGCCGGGCUCCGGCUCGGCUUUCAACGCGACCCCAGGUCAGGCGGGGUUACCCGCUGAAUUUAAGCAUAUCAAUAAGCGGAGGA
rnacentral:misc_RNA from 1 species